UAAGAAUCCCAUCUGUUCUAAAGACUGAGC
rnacentral:piRNA from 1 species